rnacentral:misc_RNA from 1 species
UCACCCCUCAAGCCCGGCUUGCUGUUGGAUCACGUCCCCCGAUUCCGGGCGGGCUGGUCUCAAAGAUAAUGACGGCGUCUGUGAGGACUCCAAGUACACUGAGCUUUCGGGCACGUACUCGGCGAAUCCAGGCCCGGUCUUUAACCAUAUUUUACCAA